rnacentral:rRNA from 1 species
CGAGCGAACAGACGAGGAGCUUGCUUCUCUGACGUUAGCGGCGGACGGGUGAGUAACACGUGGAUAACCUACCUAUAAGACUGGGAUAACUUCGGGAAACCGGAGCUAAUACCGGAUAAUAUAUUGAACCGCAUGGUUCAAUAGUGAAAGACGGUUUUGCUGUCACUUAUAGAUGGAUCCGCGCCGCAUUAGCUAGUUGGUAAGGUAACGGCUUACCAAGGCAACGAUGCGUAGCCGACCUGAGAGGGUGAUCGGCCACACUGGAACUGAGACACGGUCCAGACUCCUACGGGAGGCAGCAGUAGGGAAUCUUCCGCAAUGGGCGAAAGCCUGACGGAGCAACGCCGCGUGAGUGAUGAAGGUCUUCGGAUCGUAAAACUCUGUUAUUAGGGAAGAACAAAUGUGUAAGUAACUAUGCACGUCUUGACGGUACCUAAUCAGAAAGCCACGGCUAACUACGUGCCAGCAGCCGCGGUAAUACGUAGGUGGCAAGCGUUAUCCGGAAUUAUUGGGCGUAAAGCGCGCGUAGGCGGUUUUUUAAGUCUGAUGUGAAAGCCCACGGCUCAACCGUGGAGGGUCAUUGGAAACUGGAAAACUUGAGUGCAGAAGAGGAAAGUGGAAUUCCAUGUGUAGCGGUGAAAUGCGCAGAGAUAUGGAGGAACACCAGUGGCGAA